GAGCUGCCAUGUACUAGGCCACGUGGCAAGGGCCUGGUUGGGGACCUCCAGGGGUUGAGAGCAUCCUCUGGACAACAUGGAAAAAGAAAAUGAAAAUGGUGACCUCAGCCCUAUAGCUAGAAGGAAUUGAAUCCUGUCAACAACGAUACUCAUCACUCACUGCAGAUGUUACUUUAAGACAUUCUGGAGCAGCGUCAUGUGCAGGAACAAUAAGGAAGUGAGUGCUUUUGUAAUUCCUGAACAACUGUGUCUUACACUUACUAAGUUCUCUUGCCUGCCACCAUGUAAGAUAUGCUUUUACUCUUCCGCCUUCCACCGUGACUGUGAGGCCUCCCCAGCCAUGUGAAACUGCCUUUGAGCUUAUACUGAAUUAUACCACCAGCUUUCCUAGGUCUUGAAGCUUACAGACAGCAGAUCUUGGGACUUCUCAGGCACCAUAAUCAAUCAUAUAAAGAAAAAUCAAAGUAAGAGACCUAUUCGAGAUUUACAGAGGAAGACAAUCUUUUCUUCUCACCUUGAGAUAAAUGAUCCAAUGAUUCGGAACUUGAAAAGUGGUAGCUUUAUGAAUUCUCCUUAAGAAGAAACCUGUGCCCUGAUCUUGCCUACUCACCCAAAGGCACUGUGAGAUAGCAUCAAAGGAACAGCUAGUAAGAGACACAGAGCCAGAAAUCAGGGAAGUAAAAUACACUUGACAUCUACGUUCGGAAAGAAAUUUUAGGAGGCAGAAGCAAAUGGAUCAGAAGCUGCUUAUAUUUUUGCAAGAUUACCAAAGAAACCAUUGGUGGAGAAAGUUCUGUGACCAACUUGUCUGAGUCUAGUAAGAUUGAACGCUCACACACAAGUUUCAUGAAGUGGGUUUGAUACUUACAGAUAAGCAGCAAGGACCAACAGAAGCUGAUGAUCUAUGGUGAACUUUUUCCCAAGGCUCCGGAAAGCUGCCUAAAGUAGAUGGAGUCUUCUCUGUGUGUGCCCCACUGGUCCUGCAGUUGAAGGAUCCGGUAAAGCAGCCUGCCCUUGGUUUUAUACUCCAGAGGAACGUGAUUCGCUGGACUAAAGCAUUGAAGUGCAUCCUGUUUCCGGGGGGCACUGGAACAGAGCCUGGUCUGUUCUAGCCAGUCCCUUUCUAUCUCAGGAUAACAUUCUACAGUUAUUCUUGAGAACUAUAAUCAAAUAAGCAGGGAGAACUGGGAAAGCAGAGGCUCAUUGUGGAACCCUCAAGGAGCAUGGGGUCGUCUUCAUCCCUCAGUUUAUAAAUGGCCAAGGAGAGUAAUGCAACAAAAACUUCUCAGAGUUAAAAGCCAGAGUUCCUAAAGAACCGUGGACAAAGGGUUCUGUCUAGUGGGCAGAAUUCAUCCAGCGAAGGUCUCCUAACUACAGAGGGUCACAUCUGGAUCUGAUGGCACCUACAGAACUUGGACUCUGAGCGACAAUCAGUGACCAGGAAAUUUGGAACCCAGGUUUUCCCAACCUACAUCUACAAAAUGGAAUGGGUCUGAUUCGCAAGUUUUCAGAGAAAGAAGCCAACCUUAAUCAGACUGUGAUAUGAUGAGGAAAUAAAACUUGCUGUGCU
rnacentral:lncRNA from 1 species